GAGCCUAAUUCAUUUUAAUUAACAACUAAAAUUACAUUCAAAUCCAAAUUUAAAAUUUUAAUGCUAAAAUUUAUCCUAAAAUAAAUUUAUUGUAAUCCAUCUCUACUUAAAUAAACUGCACCUUGAUCUGAUUUUUAAUAAAAUUAUAUAUCAAAAUUAUAUAUUUCAGAAAAUAAUUAUCAACGACGGUAUACAAGCAAAAUUCAAGUUUUAUUAAUCGUGGAUUAUCGAUUACAGGACAGAUUCCCCUGAUUGGAAUAAAAAACCGCCAAAUUUUUUGAUUUUAAAGAACAUAACUAUUAUUAAUCAAGUCUUAAUAAAUCUACGUCUAGAAUAAUGGGGUAUCUAAUCCCAGUUUAAUAACUAAAUUUCUUAAAGUCAUAAUCAAAAAUAAAACUUAAUAAAAAAUAAGAUUUCACCCAAUAUUCUCAAAAAAGAUUUUUCUUUUACUAUUAAUUAAAUAUAACUGAAAAAAAAUAAUAGCAUUACUUGUUUAACCGCA
rnacentral:rRNA from 1 species